AGAUGGAAACUUAUGAAGCUGACUAAUCAUAAUCCUUUUACCAAAGCCUGACAAAGACAGUCUCACUCACGGCUAGGAAGAUCUGUCCCUAUGUUAUGGGGGUUGAUGUCAGCGUGACUCCGGUCAGUCCUUGCUCUGUCUUCGCAUUCAGAUUCAACUGGCUCAUGGCUCAUACUGGGGGAACCAGGCCCGUGCUUGGGAUCCAUAGGUCCCUCCAGUCUACCGUUCCAUGGUCGCACACACCUUGAGGGUACCCACAAGGUUUGUCCAUCUCCUAUAAAAACUCAAGCAUACCCUUGUCCCCAUGUUAGUAAAU
rnacentral:lncRNA from 1 species